AAACCUGCGGCGUGCUUACCAUGCAAGUCGAACGGAAAGGCCCUGCUUUUGUGGGGUGCUCGAGUGGCGAACGGGUGAGUAACACGUGAGUAACCUGCCCUUGACUUUGGGAUAACUUCAGGAAACUGGGGCUAAUACCGGAUAGGAGCUCCUGCUGCAUGGUGGGGGUUGGAAAGUUUCGGCGGUUGGGGAUGGACUCGCGGCUUAUCAGCUUGUUGGUGGGGUAGUGGCUUACCAAGGCUUUGACGGGUAGCCGGCCUGAGAGGGUGACCGGCCACAUUGGGACUGAGAUACGGCCCAGACUCCUACGGGAGGCAGCAGUGGGGAAUAUUGCACAAUGGGCGGAAGCCUGAUGCAGCAACGCCGCGUGCGGGAUGACGGCCUUCGGGUUGUAAACCGCUUUCGCCUGUGACGAAGCGUGAGUGACGGUAAUGGGUAAAGAAGCACCGGCUAACUACGUGCCAGCAGCCGCGGUGAU
rnacentral:rRNA from 1 species